GGACGAACGCUGGCGGCGUGCUUAACACAUGCAAGUCGAACGGAAAGGCCCUGCUUUUGUGGGGUGCUCGAGUGGCGAACGGUGAGUAACACGUGAGUAACCUGCCCUUGACUUUGGGAUAACCUCAGGAAACUGGGGCUAAUACCGGAUAGGAGCUCCUGCUGCAUGGUGGGGGGUGGAAAGUUUCGGCGGUUGGGGAUGGACUCGCGGCUUAUCAGCUUGUUGGUGGGGUAGUGGCUUACCAAGGCUUUGACGGGUAGCCGGCCUGAGAGGGUGACCGGCCACAUUGGGACUGAGAUACGGCCCAGACUCCUACGGGAGGCAGCAGUGGGGAAUAUUGCACAAUGGGCGGAAGCCUGAUGCAGCAACGCCGCGUGCGGGAUGACGGCCUUCGGGUUGUAAACCGCUUUCGCCUGUGACGAAGCGUGAGUGACGGUAAUGGGUAAAGAAGCACCGGCUAACUACGUG
rnacentral:rRNA from 1 species